GAUCAUGGCUCAGGAUGAACGCUAGCGGCAGGCUUAACACAUGCAAGUCGGAGGGGCAGCAUAAUGGAUAGCAAUAUCUAUGGUGGCGACCGGCGCACGGGUGCGUAACGCGUAUGCAACCUACCUUUAACGAGGGGAUAACACUGAGAAAUUGGUACUAACUACCCCAUAAUAUCAUAGAAGGCAUCUUUUAUGGUUAGAAAAUUCCGAUGGUUAGAGAUGGGCAUGCGUUG
rnacentral:rRNA from 1 species